UCCCGCCCGGCUCCUCCCCUCCAGUCCCGAGGGGAGCAAGGCCUCCGCGGAGCGUGCCUGGGUCGCAUUCGCUGCGUAAGGAGCUGGGCAUCUGCCAUCGAUUUCAGUAUUAUGCAAGGAGAGUAAUGGAAUUUAUCCGGCACAGUUAUGAAUCAACGUUGUAUGGAUCAAAAUACAGUAGACCCUCAGAGUUAUGAACGCAAAGGUUACAAACUGACCAGUCAACCACACACCUCAUUUGGAACCAGAAGUAUGCAAUCAGGCACAAAGACAAGAUUUCAGGAGUAAUCCCAAACAGGAGGCCUUGAAAGAAGCACGAAUUAUUCUUCCCUUAAGAGGUUGAGGGGGGCGAAAAUUAUUCACCAUCUGGAUCCUUUCAUCUCCUUCACUGGUGAAGAGAAGAGUUCGGAAUUUCUCCAGCUGUAAAUUCAUAUGACAUAACUUUACUACUUGCAAAGGCAAUUGGUGUUAAUGUCAUUGAAAAAAGAUCAUACCCUCUAUUGUGACUGGAUGGUUCAGGAAUGCAGAAGAUCCUGGAUAACAUUUUCAGUUUGUAGUGCAGUGCAGAUGGAAAAAUAAUAAACAGGGAUCUAGAAAUAUUAGAAAAUAUCAAAAGGAGAUUCAGCUUGGAAAUCUGUAAACUAAUAUAUUUAUGCAAAACUUAUCUGAAACUCAGAUAUCCAAUGGGAGGAAGAAAUAUGGAAAACAGUAGUGCUAAGUGACCUGGGCAUGGAAGUUAUCAAAUUAAUAAUGAGUUAUGAUGUUUGGCAAGGGGUAGGCUUGUUGUAUCUACAAAACUGCCACCACCACCACAAUAAAGACCUUGGCAUCUCAAGAGAGAUGCCAAGGUUUAAGUGGGCUAGGAGGAGACUAAACAAUCCUCUCACCCUCCAAGGUGAAGCACAUUGGUGGGGCAGUGAGGGAGACUUGCACUGCUGCUUCCUGUGCUAUACCUGUUUUGUAGAUAAAGAACCUCAGUCUCCAGAUCUGACAAUAGGGCAUUUUUCACACACACUAGAAAUUCACACAAAAGAACAAAAACAUCUAGUCAAUAAAAUCAACAAGAGAUUUACAUGAAGCGAGAUUCCGAUGGAGGUGUUAAAGUUAGGAAGAAAAGAGUUAGAGACCUAAAAUAUAAAAUGUUUGGAAACAAUGAAUGUGCAGAUAUGACUGCUCUCUUGGAAGAUGGUUGGAAUGGGAGGAAGUCUGCUCUUGUGGCUAACACAAAGGAGUGAAAAGUCAAGAGAUCUGGAUUUUAUUCCUGGCUCUGCCACAGACAUCCUGUGUAAUCUUGGGCAAGUCACUUAAUCUCUCUGUCUCAGUUUCCCUAUCUAUAAAAUGAGUGAUGCUUGUACAACAGUUUUAAAAUACAUAAAAAAGUGAGUACCAAAUAUUUUUCUUGCUAUAUCAAAGAUCAUUUAAGCAACAAUUUUAAACAAGAUUGUUUGGAAUGAGUGGGCACUGAAGAUGGCAAAUCUGGGCUUGGAGUGAGAUAUUACAUUAUGAAUAAUGAUUUAUUAUUCAUUCUAUAAUACUAAGCAUGCAAAUAUCACUGGAAAUUAAAAAAAAAUAAAUCCCAUCUUAUAAAUCUGUGCUUUAAAAUGUCUACAGAUAGGUUCAGUCUCAAAUCUCCCCUGCAGUCUCAUGUGGCGUCUACUUCCCAUUAUAUCAAUUACUAUUUGGGAAGGUGUUAUGUGAACAUUUCUUUUACAUUUGGUCAGAGAAAUAUCAAAGGCUAAAUCGUGCUGAGUUACACCAGUGUUUGUUAAAACAGAAUUUGGCCUAAGGGCCAGAUUUGUAAGGGUAUCUAAUGAUGGAGAUAGGUAUAUAGUAAGAUUUUCAAAAGUACCUUGGUGCCUAAUUGCCAUUGAAAUCAAUGUUGGGCACCUAGGUACAUCUGAAAAGCCCACUAGACACCCAUCUGCAUAUUUAGGUACCUAAAUACCUUUGAAAAUCUGAACUUAAGUUUUUAAGUCAUUUUCCUGGCAAAUAGAGUGAAAUAGAUAGGAGAAUGUUAAUUUGACAGAUAGCAAAGAAAUUACAGGCAGAUCCUUGCAUUCGACUAAGACAUGGUUGCAUGGGUAUAAAUGAGGGCAGAAUUUGGUCCAUUAUAUCUUUGUGGAGGGAUAACAAACAAUAUGUUAAAAGUACAGGAGUACUUGUGGCACCUUAGAGACUAACAAAUUUAUUUCAGCAUAAGCUUUCGGGGGCUACAGCUUACUUCUUCAAAUGCACAGAAUGGAACACAGAGAU